rnacentral:rRNA from 1 species
GAUCCUGGCUCAGAACGAACGCUGGCGGCAUGCCUAACACAUGCAAGUCGAACGAGACCUUCGGGUCUAGUGGCGCACGGGUGCGUAACGCGUGGGAAUCUGCCCUUUGCUUCGGAAUAACAGUUAGAAAUGACUGCUAAUACCGGAUGAUGUCUUCGGACCAAAGAUUUAUCGGCAAAGGAUGAGCCCGCGUAGGAUUAGGUAGUUGGUGGGGUAAAGGCCUACCAAGCCGACGAUCCUUAGCUGGUCUGAGAGGAUGAUCAGCCACACUGGGACUGAGACACGGCCCAGACUCCUACGGGAGGCAGCAGUGGGGAAUAUUGGACAAUGGGCGCAAGCCUGAUCCAGCAAUGCCGCGUGAGUGAUGAAGGCCUUCGGGUCGUAAAGCUCUUUUACCAGGGAUGAUAAUGACAGUACCUGGAGAAUAAGCUCCGGCUAACUCCGUG